rnacentral:rRNA from 1 species
GACAGAGGGUGCAAACGUUGUUCGGAAUUACUGGGCGUAAAGCGUGUGUAGGCGGCCUUAUAAGUCGGAUGUGAAAGCCCAGGGCUCAACCCUGGAAGUGCACUCGAUACUGUAAGGCUCGAGUACUGGAGAGGUUGGUGGAAUUCUCGGUGUAGAGGUGAAAUUCGUAGAUAUCGAGAGGAACACCGGUGGCGACGGCGGCCCCCUGGACAGAUACUGACGCUGAGACACGAAAGCGUGGGGAGCAAACAGG